rnacentral:rRNA from 1 species
GGGGGGGGGGGGGGGGGGGCCUGACAGAUGCGGGGCGAGCGGCCGCGGCGGAGGGAGGGGGGGACGGGGGGGUGGCCGGGGGGGACGGGCCGGGAGGGGCGGGAUAACUCAGGGAAACUUGGGCUAAGGGCGAAGGGGCCCUGCGGGGGGAAGACUUAUGGCCUUUAAGGCGGCCCGCGUCUGAUUAGCUAGUUGGGGAGGUAAAGGCUCACCAAGGCGACGAUCAGUAGCUGGUCUGAGAGGAUGAUCAGCCACAUUGGGACUGAGACACGGCCCAAACUCCUACGGGAGGCAGCAGUGGGGAAUCUUGCGCAAUGGGCGAAAGCCUGACGCAGCCAUGCCGCGUGAAUGAUGAAGGUCUUAGGAUUGUAAAAUUCCUUCACCGGGGACGAUAAUGACGGUACCCGGAGAAGAAGCCCCGGCUAACUUCGUG